UUAAAUUGAAGAGUUUGAUCAUGGCUCAGAUUGAACGCUGGCGGCAGGCCUAAC
rnacentral:rRNA from 3 species